rnacentral:rRNA from 1 species
GAUGAACGCUGGCGGCGUGCCUAAUACAUGCAAGUCGAGCGAACAGAUGAGGAGCUUGCUCCUCUGACGUUAGCGGCGGACGGGUGAGUAACACGUGGAUAACCUACCUAUAAGACUGGGAUAACUUCUGGAAACCGGAGCUAAUACCGGAUAAUAUAUUGAACCGCAUGGUUCAAUAGUGAAAGACGGUUUUGCUGUCACUUAUAGAUUGAUCCGCGCCGCAUUAGCUAGUUGGUAAGGUAACGGAUUACCAAGGCAAAGAUGGGUAGCGCACCUGAGCGGGUGAUGGGCCACACGGGAAGUGAGAGACGACCGAGACACCGACGCGGGGCAGCAGUAGGGACUCUUACGCAAUGGGCGAAAGCCGGACGGAGCAACGCCGCGUGAGUGAUGAAGGUGUUAGGAUCGUAAAACUAUGUUAUUAGGGAAGAACAAAUGUGUAAGUAACUAUGCACGUCUUGACGGUACCUAAUCAGAAAGCCACGGCUAACUACGUG